CCGGCGCACGGGUGAGUAACGCGUAUGCAACUUGCCUAUCAGAGGGGGAUAACCCGGCGAAAGUCGGACUAAUACCGCAUGAAGCAGGGGCCCCGCAUGGGGAUAUUUGCUAAAGAUUCAUCGCUGAUAGAUAGGCAUGCGUUCCAUUAGGCAGUUGGCGGGGUAACGGCCCACCAAACCGACGAUGGAUAGGGGUUCUGAGAGGAAGGUCCCCCACAUUGGAACUGAGACACGGUCCAA
rnacentral:rRNA from 1 species